UGGUGUACAAACAUAUGGAGGUGGUCUCUAGCAUACGUGGUUUGAUUGUGAUUUAUCUGUUGCUGGGAGGAUAAUAGUAAGAGAAAGGAAAGACCGGUCAGAUCGCAAGAGCAAACGUCU